AAAUUGGCAUACAAGCUGCAGUUCCCUGAUCAUGUACAAGUUCACCCAGUUUUCCACGCCAGUCAGCUAAAGAAGCACAUCGGCAAUAAAUCCAUUCCUAGCCCUAAUUUGCCAAUGGUGGCAGCCGAUGGAACGAUCAAAACCGGGCCAGCUCAGGUUCUGCAAGUGAGGCAAGUACCCAGACACAAUCUGCCCGUGGUGCAGUGGUACAUUCAAUGGGAAAAUUUGCCUCCGGCCGAAGCAACAUGGGAAGACGCGGAUUUCAUCAAAUAUGCUUUCCGUGGCUCAAGAUUCAGUUAUCGCUGUAGCGUUUCUGGCAAAUACCGAUUCAGUAGAUGGACGGCUACGAUGGCGACCUCCUAUCCCAGUCGAUCACCACCGUUGGAUGGCCGUGACCGUUACUGUACCUUUCUUACCCUUUCCAUUAGUGAGCUGUCCUUGCUCUACCUAUAA
rnacentral:rRNA from 1 species